UGGGGAAUAUUGCACAAUGGGCGCAAGCCUGAUGCAGCCAUGCCGCGUGUGUGAAGAAGGCCUUCGGGUUGUAAAGCACUUUCAGCGAGGAGGAAGGUGGUGAGCUUAAUACGCUCAUCAAUUGACGUUACUCGCAGAAGAAGCACCGGCUAACUCCGUGCCAGCAGCCGCGGUAAUACGGAGGGUGCAAGCGUUAAUCGGAAUUACUGGGCGUAAAGCGCACGCAGGCGGUUUGUUAAGUCAGAUGUGAAAUCCCCGGGCUCAACCUGGGAACUGCAUUUGAAAACUGGCAAGCUAGAGUCUCGUAGAGGGGGGUAGAAAUUCCAGGUGUAGCGGUGAAAAUGCGUAGAGAUCUGGAGGAAUACCGGUGGCGAAAGGCGGCCCCCCUGGACGAAGACUGACGCUCAGGUGCGAAAAGCGUGGGGCAGCAAAACAGGAUUAGAUACCCUGGUAGUCCA
rnacentral:rRNA from 1 species